UGGGGUGUGGGGAGGAGUUAUGUUGGGGGUUUCUUUGUUCUUUUUUGGGGGAGAGCUUCUGUUCUGGCUGAAUGUGUAAUCUUGGCCCCAGCUGUUUUGUGGACCAAGAGUCCGGGGGUGACUUGCCUGUUUUUCACCAACCCCCACAGCAGUACAGAGACCAAGCUAUUUUUUCUUCAGGAAGCAGCAUGGUGUAGGGGAUAGAGUAUGGGCCUGAAAGUCAGAAGGACCUG